UUUGAUGUAGGUUAUAAAAACUGUUGAAUUUAUUAUUCAAAGAAACUUUUUAGUUAUCAGUG
rnacentral:tRNA from 1 species